AUUAUAGGUAACUGGCUGUGGGUUUAUUUUGCAAUCCUGUGACAUUGUAUCUGCAUGUAAUUAUCAUUCUUUUGUCACACGUACAUUAAACUUUAUACUUGGUGAAGUGCUAGUUAUGUUGUUAGUUUAAUCAUACUACCACCCACUCAAUUAUAUCUCCACUAGAUUGAAGAUUCGUGUUGCAAUGACAAUACUGGCUGCUUGACAGAUUUGAUUGACCAAUGGAUGAAGAGUUAUUCUGGACGACCAACCUGGAGGGAGCUGGCUGAUCAUCUCAGUAAGAUCAGAGAGGAGUAACUGGCAAAGGAUUGCAGGUACUAUGUGGCUGAGAGUGUGAGGCUCUACUCUCAGGAGACCUGGAGGGUGUUCACACAGACCAGGAGAGUGCAACGCAUCCACAAAGUGGUGGACUUCUACAUCUCCCAGAGCCAGGCAGCCAACCAUGCAGUGAGAGAGGCAGCCUGCAUCUGUACUGCAGAGCUGGGCACUAAUGUGAACAAGGAUUGUCUGAGACCGUACUGUUGAAGUGUUUCCAUGACGAUAGCUGGCCAGUGAGAGGCGAUUUCGCCUGUGGUAUAUAUAUAACUUCCUGGGAUGCUUCCUAGAUGAGUGAAGAUCGUGGCUGGAUGAACUGUUCCCACCGUUCUUUGCCAAUCUUGAGGACAGCACACCCUCAGUUAGACAAGGGGCGGCUGCUGCUCUCACUAGUG